ensembl:lncRNA PVT1 Pvt1 oncogene
GAGUAGCUGGUAUUACAGGCGUGUGCCACAAAGCCUGGCUAAGUUUUGUAUUUUUAGUAGAGACGGGGUUUCACCAUGUUGGCCAGGUUGGUCUCGAACUCCUGACCUCAAGUGAUCCACUCACUUUGGCCUUUCAACGUGCUGGGAUUACAGGCGAGAGUCACCGCACCCGGACGACUCUGACAUUUUUGAAGAGUCCAGAAUCCUGUUACACCUGGGAUUUAGGCACUUUCAAUCUGAAAAAAUACAUAUCCUUUCAGCACUCUGGACGGACUUGAGAACUGUCCUUACGUGACCUAAAGCUGGAGUAUUUUGAGAUUGGAGAAUUAAGGCCAACAGAGAUUUUGAGAAACACAUUGAAGGAUCUGUUAACACUUGAUAUACCCAAUAAAAGCAGUGGUUGUGCCAGUGCUGAUCUGUCUUGAUGUGAAUGUGAACAAUGGGAACCUGAGCUGAGCAGUUAAUGCUAGGGUGACAGAAACUGGACCUCUCCCAAGACAUGUGACAGAGUAAUACAGCAGCCAACUUCUUCGCCAAAUUAAAGUUUUACAAGAUUUAACCUGUCAUCAAGACCUGGGAUUUUGGUGAGCCAGUCUUGGUGCUCUGUGUUCACCUGGUUCAUCUGAGGAGCUGCAUCUACCCUGCCCAUGCCAUAGAUCCUGCCCUGUUUGCUUCUCCUGUUGCUGCUAGUGGACAUGAGGUUUGGGUAACUCCACGCAAGACUGUCUUUACCUGCCUUUGCAAAACUUUGUGGUUUCUGCUCUGAAUGUCAGGGUAACCCUGUCUGAGGAUGAUCACGGAUUUCAUUUUCCCUUGUUUGUUAGCGUUGCGGUCAGCCGCAAGUUGAAAACAAGGAACCAGCUUGAGAAGGACAGAAUAACGGGCUCCCAGAUUCACAAGCCCCACCAAGAGGAUCACCCCAGGAACGCUUGGAGGCUGAGGAGUUCACUGAGGCUACUGCAUCUUGAGACUCAGGAUGAAGACCCAGCUUGGGGCUGUCAAAGGUUUUUUGCAUGUCUGACACCCAUGACUCCACCUGGACCUUAUGGCUCCACCCAGAAGCAAUUCAGCCCAACAGGAGGACAGCUUCAACCCAUUACGAUUUCAUCUCUGCCCCAACCACUCAGCAGCAAGCACCUGUUACCUGUCCACCCCCACCCCUUCCCCCAAACUGCCUUUGAAAAAUCCCUAACCUAUGAGCUUUGAAUAAGAUGAGUACGAACUUCAUCGCCCACGUGGCGUGGCCGGCCUCGUGUCUAUUAAAUUCUUUUUCUACUACAA